GUCGUGGUAGCUCAGUGGUUAGAGCAUCGAACCAGUUAUUGGAAGGUCGCAGGUUCGGAUCCUGCCCACGGCA